rnacentral:rRNA from 1 species
UACGGAGGGGGCUAGCGUUGUUCGGAAUCACUGGGCGUAAAGCGCACGUAGGCGGACGUGUCAGUCAGGGGUGAAAUCCCGGAGCUCAACUUCGGAACUGCCUUUGAUACAGCACGUCUUGAGUCCGGAAGAGGUGGGUGGAAUUCCUAGUGUAGAGGUGAAAUUCGUAGAUAUUAGGAAGAACACCGGUGGCGAAGGCGGCCCACUGGUCCGGUACUGACGCUGAGGUGCGAAAGCGUGGGGAGCAAACAGG